rnacentral:rRNA from 1 species
GAUGAACGCUGGCGGCGUGCNUAAUACAUGCAAGUCGAGCGAACAGACGAGGAGCUUGCUCCUCUGACGUUAGCGGCGGACGGGUGAGUAACACGUGGAUAACCUACCUAUAAGACUGGGAUAACUUCGGGAAACCGGAGCUAAUACCGGAUAAUAUAUUGAACCGCAUGGUUCAAUAGUGAAAGACGGUUUUGCUGUCACUUAUAGAUGGAUCCGCGCCGCAUUAGCUAGUUGGUAAGGUAACGGCUUACCAAGGCAACGAUGCGUAGCCGACCUGAGAGGGUGAUCGGCCACACUGGAACUGAGACACGGUCCAGACUCCUACGGGAGGCAGCAGUAGGGAAUCUUCCGCAAUGGGCGAAAGCCUGACGGAGCAACGCCGCGUGAGUGAUGAAGGUCUUCGGAUCGUAAAACUCUGUUAUUAGGGAAGAACAAAUGUGUAAGUAACUAUGCACGUCUUGACGGUACCUAAUCAGAAAGCCACGGCUAACUACGUGCCAGCAGCCGCGGUAAUACGUAGGUGGCAAGCGUUGUCCGGAAUUAUUGGGCGUAAAGCGCGCGCAGGCGGUUUCUUAAGUCUGAUGUGAAAGCCCCCGGCUCAACCGUGGAGGGUCAUUGGAAACUGGAAAACUUGAGUGCAGAAGAGGAAAGUGGAAUUC